GACAAACAGAUCAAAUCAAGCUAUAUUGGUAUAAAAGGAAGUUAGAAAGUAAAAAAUGAUGAAAAAGAAAUUUCUCUUGUAGAGGUGAAAUUUGCACAAGAGAGGGUAGAUUAAUAUUUUUCUAUAUUUUGAUACUUCGAAACUGAAGGAAGAGACCGGGAUUAGAUACCCCGUUAUUUUCACUGUAAAACCUGGGCUACCUACCUGAGUAUUACGAGCGAAGAUUUUAGGUGUAUACCUACUGAAUUUUUAUUUAGCUUAAAACUCAAAAAACUUGGCGGUGCCUUAUUUCUUUCCAGGGGAAUCUGUCCUGUAAUCGAUAGUCCACGAUUAAGCUUACUUUUUUUUGUAAAUAUUUGUUUUCAGUUUGUAUACCGUCGUCGUCAGAUUACCUUCAAAAGGCUAGAAGUUGUCGGAAAAAUGAGAUUAGAUAGUAAAGCCAUAAAUCUUUGAUUAGUUUUGUGGGAUGAGUCUAGUGUGUUUUGAUGUCAGAUCAAGGUGCAGCUAAUAAAAAAGAAGAGAUGGGUUACAGUAUAAAUUUAAUUUGGAUUUCAGGCUGUAAAGCCUAAAUGAAAUUGGACUUGGAAGUAAUAUAAAAUUUAUACUAGAUUAGAUAGUUAAUGUGAAUAUUUGUACUAAGGCGCGU
rnacentral:rRNA from 1 species